AUUGAACGCUGGCGGCAGGCCUAACACAUGCAAGUCGAGCGGUAGCACAGAGAGCUUGCUCUCGGGUGACGAGUGGCGGACGGGUGAGUAAUGUCUGGGAAACUGCCUGAUGGAGGGGGAUAACUACUGGAAACGGUAGCUAAUACCGCAUAACGUCGCAAGACCAAAGAGGGGGACCUUCGGGCCUCUUGCCAUCAGAUGUGCCCAGAUGGGAUUAGCUAGUAGGUGGGGUAACGGCUCACCUAGGCGACGAUCCCUAGCUGGUCUGAGAGGAUGACCAGCCACACUGGAACUGAGACACGGUCCAGACUCCUACGGGAGGCAGCAGUGGGGAAUAUUGCACAAUGGGCGCAAGCCUGAUGCAGCCAUGCCGCGUGUAUGAAGAAGGCCUUCGGGUUGUAAAGUACUUUCAGCGGGGAGGAAGGUGUUGUGGUUAAUAACCGCAGCAAUUGACGUUACUCGCAGAAGAAGCACCGGCUAACUCCGUGCCAGCAGCCGCGGUAAUACGGAGGGUGCAAGCGUUAAUCGGAAUUACUGGGCGUAAAGCGCACGCAGGCGGUCUGUCAAGUCAGAUGUGAAAUCCCCGGGCUCAACCUGGGAACUGCAUUUGAAACUGGCAAGCUAGAGUCUCGUAGAGGGGGGUAGAAUUCCAGGUGUAGCGGUGAAAUGCGUAGAGAUCUGGAGGAAUACCGGUGGCGAAGGCGGCCCCCUGGACGAAGACUGACGCUCAGGUGCGAAAGCGUGGGGAGCAAACAGGAUUAGAUACCUGGUAGUCCACGCUGUAAACGAUGUCGAUUUGGAGGUUGUGCCCUUGAGGCGUGGCUUCCGGAGCUAACGCGUUAAAUCGACCGCCUGGGGAGUACGGCCGCAAGGUUAAAACUCAAAUGAAUUGACGGGGGCCCGCACAAGCGGUGGAGCAUGUGGUUUAAUUCGAUGCAACGCGAAGAACCUUACCUACUCUUGACAUCCAGAGAACUUUCCAGAGAUGGAUUGGUGCCUUCGGGAACUCUGAGACAGGUGCUGCAUGGCUGUCGUCAGCUCGUGUUGUGAAAUGUUGGGUUAAGUCCCGCAACGAGCGCAACCCUUAUCCUUUGUUGCCAGCGGUUCGGCCGGGAACUCAAAGGAGACUGCCAGUGAUAAACUGGAGGAAGGUGGGGAUGACGUCAAGUCAUCAUGGCCCUUACGAGUAGGGCUACACACGUGCUACAAUGGCAUAUACAAAGAGAAGCGACCUCGCGAGAGCAAGCGGACCUCAUAAAGUAUGUCGUAGUCCGGAUUGGAGUCUGCAACUCGACUCCAUGAAGUCGGAAUCGCUAGUAAUCGUAGAUCAGAAUGCUACGGUGAAUACGUUCCCGGGCCUUGUACACACCGCCCGUCACACCAUGGGAGUGGGUUGCAAAAGAAGUAGGUAGCUUAACCUUCGGGAGG
rnacentral:rRNA from 1 species